GAUGAACGCUGGCGGCGUGCCUAAUACAUGCAAGUCGAGCGAACAGACGAGAAGCUUGCUUCUCUGAUGUUAGCGGCGGACGGGUGAGUAACACGUGGAUAACCUACCUAUAAGACUGGGAUAACUUCGGGAAACCGGAGCUAAUACCGGAUAAUAUAUUGAACCGCAUGGUUCAAUAGUGAAAGACGGUCUUGCUGUCACUUAUAGAUGGAUCCGCGCUGCAUUAGCUAGUUGGUAAGGUAACGGCUUACCAAGGCGACGAUGCGUAGCCGACCUGAGAGGGUGAUCGGCCACACUGGAACUGAGACACGGUCCAGACUCCUACGGGAGGCAGCAGUAGGGAAUCUUCCGCAAUGGGCGAAAGCCUGACGGAGCAACGCCGCGUGAGUGAUGAAGGUCUUCGGAUCGUAAAACUCUGUUAUUAGGGAAGAACAAAUGUGUAAGUAACUAUGCACAUCUUGACGGUACCUAAUCAGAAAGCCACGGCUAACUACGUG
rnacentral:rRNA from 1 species